CCUCUGUCCUGUCAAGGCAGAUGCCCUAACUACGAAGGUGGUUUUCCCAGGGUGAGGCUUUUGGAUCACAUUCCUGAUCUAACACGUGAGAUUUUCCCAGAUGUGGCAAACUCAGCUAAAUAAUUUGUGGAAGUGGAGGGCUGGGUUUGUACUUUCCCCUA